rnacentral:rRNA from 1 species
UAGGGAAUCUUCCGCAAUGGACGAAAGUCUGACGGAGCAACGCCGCGUGAGUGAUGAAGGUUUUCGGAUCGUAAAACUCUGUUGUUAGGGAAGAACAAGUUGGGUAGUAACUGACCCAACCUUGACGGUACCUAACCAGAAAGCCACGGCUAACUACGUGCCAGCAGCCGCGGUAAUACGUAGGUGGCAAGCGUUGUCCGGAAUUAUUGGGCGUAAAGCGCUCGCAGGCGGUCUUUUAAGUCUGAUGUGAAAGCCCACGGCUUAACCGUGGAGGGUCAUUGGCAACUGGAGGACUUGAGUACAGAAGAGGAGAGUGGAAUUCCACGUGUAGCGGUGAAAUGCGUAGAGAUGUGGAGGAACACCAGUGGCGAAGGCGACUCUCUGGUCUGUAACUGACGCUGAGGAGCGAAAGCGUAGGUAGCGAACAGG